rnacentral:rRNA from 1 species
GAGUUUGAUCCUGGCUCAGGACGAACGCUGGCGGCGUGCCUAACACAUGCAAGUCGAGCGAGGUCCAUCUGGUGGCAACACCGGGGAAGACCUAGCGGCGAACGGGUGAGUAACACGUGAGAAACCUGCCCCGAACUCUGGGAUAACUCGAGGAAACUCGGACUAAUACCGGAUGCCCUUCACGGAUCGCAUGGUCCAUGAAGGAAAGAAUUUCGGUUCGGGAGGGUCUCGCGGCCUAUCAGCUAGUUGGUGGGGUAACGGCCCACCAAGGCAUCGACGGGUAGCUGGUCUGAGAGGACGAUCAGCCACACUGGGACUGAGACACGGCCCAGACUCCUACGGGAGGCAGCAGUGGGGAAUCUUGCGCAAUGAGCGAAAGCCUGACGCAGCAACGCCGCGUGCGGGAUGACGGCCUC